AGAUCUCUUGACAGCUCAUCGGGGUGACCACCCACCUGGGUGGGUAGAAGAAUUUUCGGUAUAUAUAUCUAACCUAAAACAAGAAGAGGAAAAGAAAAGGAGGCUCAUCGAAAGAAAGAGAGAUGGAGUGGAGACCGAUAAUCUUGACUGAGCUGGAGGCCAAUGACGUGUUAAGGCAAGUCCAAUCGACAGGGGUGACAAUCGCUUCUCGCGCAAAAGCCGUCGAGGUUAUCGAUUCGUUCCUCAAACAAUACAAGGAAUGCUUUUGGACAAUAGUGAUCGGCGAGAUUACGUUUGCGAUCAGAGAAGAGCUCCUAAAAUGUAGGAAUGUGAUCGACGUAAAGUUGGUUAGAGAAGUUGUUGAGUAUCUUUCAAACCGCCGCGGCGUGGAGAAGAAGAAGAAGGAGGAAGGUUCGGCGGAUGAGAACGGUUCGAGUGAGGAGGAGAGCUCGGGGGAGGAGUCUGAAGAUGAAGAAGAUUCGGAUCAGGAUUUGAAAAAGGAAGAGGAUGAUAUGGAGGUGGUGACGUAGGUGGUGGCUGAUGAUGAUGAGGAGGAGGAGAUACAUGAUUUAAAAGAUGAUCCAAUAAAGAGACAAGAUUGCAUCGAGGAUCUGUUGUUACUUGCCAGGGAGGAGGGAUUGAGUGUGAAAGAAGGCGAGGAGGAUGAGAUCCUGGAUAUGAUGAUUCCCUACCUCCGCGGAUGCCUUAUGUAUGCCAAGGGCAUCAUGAUUUUCCUGAAAAGGGUGAGAGAGCAUAUCGAUAGGUGUAGCACCCUCAACAAUUUGGAGACGGUGGAGGCCGCCCUCGAGAGUAGCAUUUUUCGUGAAGAAUAUGAGGACUGGAAAAAGGAGAAGACCAGUACCAGUAGGAUGGAGGAUAUGGCUGAUGCUAAGGACCAAGUUAAUCAUCAGGUUGUUGCUAUGAUCAAAUCUUCCACCCCAAAUGGUCUUGGUGAUCACAUGUGUUGACUUUGAAGGAUCCUACAGGUACAAUUGGAGCCACCAUCCACAACAAAGCCCUCUCCGAAGGAGAGUUUGGGAAGAGCAUUUCUGUGGGUGCAGUUUUGGUUCUGCAGAAGGUUGCUGUGUUUUCCCCCUUGCACGUACUCUGCAUGUUAUCUCAAUGUGACGUUGAACAGCAUUGUCAAGGCAAGAUUUUCCAAUUUCAUCAGUUAACAUUCCUUCUCCCAUCAGUGCAGAAAGUAGUAAAAUGUUACGGAUGCCACAAGAAUAUUCCGCCCGUCACAGGAAAGUACUCAGCGAAUCAUGAAAUAUCUGAGACAAAAUUCCAAGGUGAUUAAUUGGGAGUGAAUAUAUCUGAGAAGCAUAUGGAAACUGACCACACGCCACCAGGAAGGAUUUUCUCUGGUCACGUGCACUCUGGAAGCCAAUGUGCUGCUGUAGAGAUAGAACCUUCAUUGGUGGAAAAAUGCUAUGCUUAAAUCCUAAUAGAAUCACUAAACUGUCAGUUAGAGAGGACAUUAUUGAUACGGAAUAAGUAACUGGGGUUGCUGAGGAGCUCAGAAUGGCUGAAGAGGACAAUUCAUCAAGCAUCAGCCAACCCAUUAGUGGUUCAGCAAACUCGACUGAGAUUCCUGAUAAUCAUGGGAGAAUAACAGGAGCAAAAAGGCCAAGGCAGCCACUUAGCUUAACAACUUCACUCCCAGACUAUACAGAAGAGCAACUAGAUCUGUUUGAUUUUGACUCAGGCUUACCUUGAUACUCGGUUGCUUAGAAUCAUAUAAUGUAAUGACCUGAAUUCGACUCGCAGACUUGUAAAUAGGAUGCAUUAGAAGUUAUCAUAUUGUUUUGAUCUGCCACAUGUACAAAUUAUGGAAUAUGAAAUUGAUCACCUUGUUUUUCUUUAUACUAAUAAUAUUUCAUUAACAAGAAUCGCAAAGGAUUACAAACAUACAAAAGAACUGGCCAUCGAUCUAAGACUAGAAACACACAACAGAUGGGAAAGCACCAA